GAUCGGCGAUCGUCCUAUCAGCUAGUUGGCGGGGUAACAGCCCACCAAGGCGAUGACGGGUAGCAGGUGUGAGAGCACGACCUGCGACAUCGGAACUGAGACACUGUCCGGACUCCUACGGGAGGCUGCAGCGACGAAUCUUCCGCAAUGGGCGCAAGCCUGACGGAGCGACGCCGCGUGUGGGAUGAAGCGCCUUCGGCGUGUAAACCACUGUCAGGGGGCAGAACCAAUGAUCGCCCCCAGAGGAAGAGACGGCUAACCCUGUGCCAGCAGCCGCGGUAAGACAGGGGUCUCGAGCGUUAAUCGGAAUUACUGGGCUUAAAGGGUGCGUAGGUGGGCCAGCAAGUGCUUUGUGAAAUCCCCCGGCUCAACCGGGGAACUGCGGGGCAUACUGCUGGCCUUGAGGAAGGUAGGCGCCGAGGGAACAGUAGGUGGAGCGGUGAAAUGCGUAGAUAUCUACUGG
rnacentral:rRNA from 1 species